rnacentral:rRNA from 1 species
CAGUCGCCGCGGGAAUACGAAGGGGGCUAGCGUUGCUCGGAAUCACUGGGCGUAAAGGGUGCGUAGGCGGGUCUUUAAGUCAGGGGUGAAAUCCUGGAGCUCAACUCCAGAACUGCCUUUGAUACUGAAGAUCUUGAGUUCGGGAGAGGUGAGUGGAACUGCGAGUGUAGAGGUGAAAUGCGUAGAUAUCGGAAGGAACACCUGUGGCGAAAGCGGCUCACUGGACCAUUUCUGACGCUGAUGCACGAAAGCUAGGGGAGCAAACAGGAUUAGAUACCCCUGUAGUCCCUGUCUCUUAUAC